CUAAGGUAGCGAAAUUCCUUGUCGGGUAAGUUCCGACCCGCACGAAAGGCGUAACGAUUUGGGCACUGUCUCAACAACAGACUCGGUGAAAUUGUAAUACCGGUGAAGAUGCCGGUUACCUGCGACAGGACGGAAAGACCCCAUGGAGCUUUACUGUAGCUUGACAUUGAGUCUCGGUGCUACAUGUACAGGAUAGGUGGGAGACUAUGAAGCAUGGACGUCAGUCUGUGUGGAGUCAUCCUUGGGAUACCACCCUUGUAGUACUGGGAUUCUAACCAGAGGCCAUGAAUCUGGUCUUGGGACACUGUCAGGUGGACAGUUUGACUGGGGCGGUCGCCUCCCAAAAAGUAACGGAGGCGCUCAAAGGUUCUCUCAGUACGGUCGGAAAUCGUACGAAGAGUGUAAAGGCAAAAGAGAGCUUGAUUGCAAGACAUACAGGUCGAGCAAGGACGAAAGUCGGACUUAGUGAUCCGGUGGUUCCGCAUGGAAGGGCCAUCGCUCAACGGAUAAAAGCUACCCUGGGGAUAACAGGCUGAUCUCCCCCAAGAGUCCACAUCGACGGGGAGGUUUGGCACCUCGAUGUCGGCUCAUCACAUCCUGGGGCUGUAGUAGGUCCCAAGGGUUGGGCUGUUCGCCCAUUAAAGUGGUACGCGAGCUGGGUUCAGAACGUCGUGAGACAGUUCGGUCCCUAUCCGUCGCAGGCGUAGGAAAUUUGAGGAGACCUGUCCUUAGUACGAGAGGACCGGGAUGGACGUACCGCUGGUGUACCAGUUGUUCUGCCAAGGGCAUGGCUGGGUAGCUAAGUACGGAAAGGAUAAGCGCUGAAAGCAUCUAAGCGCGAAGCCUACUUCGAGAUAAGAUUUCCCACCGCAAGGUUAAGACCCCAUGAAGACUACAUGGUUGAUAGGUCAGAGGUGGAAGUGUGGUAACAUAUGUAGCUUACUGAUACUAAUAGGUCGAGGACUUGACCAA
rnacentral:rRNA from 1 species